GACGAACGCUGGCGGCGUGCCUAAUACAUGCAAGUAGAACGCUGAAGGAGGAGCUUGCUUCUCUGGAUGAGUUGCGAACGGGUGAGUAACGCGUAGGUAACCUGCCUGGUAGCGGGGGAUAACUAUUGGAAACGAUAGCUAAUACCGCAUAAUAUUGACUCUUGCAUGAUAGUCAGUUGAAAGGUGCAACUGCACCACUACCAGAUGGCCCUGCGUUGUAUUAGCUAGUUGGUGGGGUAACGGCUCACCAAGGCGACGAUACAUAGCCGACCUGAGAGGGUGAUCGGCCACACUGGGACUGAGACACGGCCCAGACUCCUACGGGAGGCAGCAGUAGGGAAUCUUCGGCAAUGGACGGAAGUCUGACCGAGCAACGCCGCGUGAGUGAAGAAGGUUUUCGGAUCGUAAAGCUCUGUUGUAAGAGAAGAACGAGUGUGAGAGUGGAAAGCUCACACUGUGACGGUAUCUUACCAGAAAGGGACGGCUAACUACGUG
rnacentral:rRNA from 1 species